AAAAGAAAAUAUUUGGAUUUAUUUAUUAUAACAAUAUAUCGAUACACACCAAGGCCGGCCAGAGAGCCAUAAACUUUUGCAACAUGGACAUGAUACAAGAUAUUAGAGUUUGGCCUGGCCUCAUAGUAUUGACCAACCCUAACCAGCCAGAACUCAUAACUAUUUUACAUGGAUAAUAAUUAAUACAUCCAAAUACAUUAAUUAAACAUGAUAUGAUAGAUAGUAGUCCAUUUUGCAACAUAUAUAUAUGGACAUUAUUCAAUACAAUACAAUAAAAAGGUUGGCCUUAGUUAUAGUAGGUAGGUAAUUAACCACCAACCCUAGCAUGCAAGCAUCAAAUUGGAGUGUACAAGCUUACCGAUGCCGGCGGUGCAUGUUUAGCUAGUGGUAUGAAUUUG
rnacentral:lncRNA from 1 species